rnacentral:rRNA from 1 species
AGAGUUNGAUCAUGGGCUCAGAACGUACGCUGGCGGCACGCCUAACACAUGCAAGUCGAACGAAGUAGCAAUACUUAGUGGCAGACGGGUGAGUAACAUGUAGGUAUCUNCCCUUUGGCCUGGAAUAGCACGAGGAAACUUGUGCUAAUACCGGAUAAGUCUUUACGGAGAAAGCUUUAUGCACCAUUGGAUGAGCCUGCACUUGAUUAGUUUGUUGGUGGGGUAAGUGGCCUACCAAGACUGUGACUCAAUAGCUGAUUUUGAGGAGGGAGUGACUCA